UGGGGAAUAUUGCACAAUGGGCGAAAGCCUGAUGCAGCGACGCCGCGUGAGGGAUGACGGCCUUCGGGUUGUAAACCUCUUUCAGCAGGGACGAAGCGCAAGUGACGGUACCUGCAGAAGAAGCACCGGCUAACUACGUGCCAGCAGCCGCGGUAAUACGUAGGGUGCAAGCGUUGUCCGGAUUUACUGGGCGUAAAGAGUUCGUAGGCGGUUUGUCGCGUCGUUUGUGAAAACCAGCAGCUCAACUGCUGGCUUGCAGGCGAUACGGGCAGACUUGAGUACUGCAGGGGAGACUGGAAUUCCUGGUCUCGCGGUGAAAUGCGCAGAUAUCAGGAGGAACACCGGUGGCGAAGGCGGGUCUCUGGGCAGUAACUGACGCUGACGAACGAACGCGUGAGUAGCGAGCGGG
rnacentral:rRNA from 1 species